CCGCCAGUCGGCGCUCCCGCAGCUGCCCUGCGACCCCAGGCGGGGGCGGGUCGGCCGGCCCGAUCCUGCCCGCGGCUUCCCGGAACAAUAAGCACCGGACCCCGAGUGGCGGCGCCGCCGCGACCCCUCCCUCGGGCCCACCAAGGCGGCUGGGGGCUGAGGCGUGACCCGGCCUAGUCCCAGGCUGUUGGCUGGCGACGUCGGGGGAACGGCCCGAGCCCGCCGGGACUCUACCCUUCCUACCCCGCCGCCAGGGAAGACCUGCCCGCCCGGAGCAGAGGAGUCCGCGGCGGCGGCGCCGAGGGCCCCUCCCCCGGGCCUCCGAGGUCUGAGGUACCGCGCUCGCCGCGCCUCCCGAGCCUCUCGCCCUUCUCUUUAUUUCUCCUCCUCGCUUUCUGUCCCCCUUGCCUCUUCAUCUCACCCCUCAGCAGCUACGGAAACGGAGCCAGGCCCGGGAUUCGCCCGGAGGCCGAGCUCCCGGGAUGCCCCCUCCUCCUUCCCGCCUCCCUCUGGGUCUUCUGCCCCCACCCCAACUCUGCAACGCCACAGCGCCGGUCUUCCGCGGGGUUCUUAAGGCCUCGGAGCAGACGUCCUUGUCGAAGGCUGUCGAUCACUUUCCUGCGAAAAUGACGAGAAACUCUAAAGUGUUCACAUUUUAUUUUCCUGUCCAGACUAGAUUAUUGAGCAGCUGAUAAGCUAUUGGCAUCCAGGGGGAAAAGGAAUCAUUGGAGCACCAAGGAGGCUUCAGAGAAUCACUAAAGCUCUAUUUCUUAAACUAGGUGUAAUCACCACACCCAACAUGGAACUUGAGCUCACAACGACAAGAUCCAGAGUGGUAUGAUCCAGAUAUGAUAUGCUGACUGAGGCAGCCAGGCGCCCCUAGAAACUAAAUAAACUUCGAGUAAUC